rnacentral:rRNA from 1 species
UACGGGGGGGGCAAGCGUUGUUCGGAAUUACUGGGCGUAAAGGGCUCGUAGGCGGCCAACUAAGUCAGACGUGAAAUCCCUCGGCUUAACCGGGGAGCUGCGUCUGAUACUGGAUGGCUUGAGGUUGGGAGAGGGAUGCGGAAUUCCAGGUGUAGCGGUGAAAUGCGUAGAUAUCUGGAGGAACACCGGUGGCGAAGGCAGGUCUCUGGGCCACUACUGACGCUGAGAAGCGAAAGCAUGGGGAGCGAACAGG